rnacentral:lncRNA from 1 species
CAAGCAGCAGCCAGAGAUUCCUAUCGGGAGAGGGAAGACUUUACUUUUGAAGAGGAAAAGUACUUAACUCCUAGAGGAAAGCGUCAUUCCUGAGGUUUACCCUCAUGGUCUGGAGACAAACACGUGGGACUUUUCUUUUUUGUGUGUGUUUCUAAUAGUGGAAGAAAAGGAAAGCCAGGCUAAGCAGAGAAAAGUGGAAGAGGAGACACAGCAGCUCAUUCUUUCCCAGUAGCCGUUAGACUGAUUGCGGAGGGGAAGGUCAAAAGAGAAGUUCACAACUAUGAUACCAGCUCUAGAGGCGAAAGAACAACUGAGAGAGAACUAUCCAAGAAGUGUUUGGAUCCCGAAGCACAAAGGUAGACUUACAAAGGAUGAAAUUGAUCUCUACUACUAAGUGGAUCCAUCUUCAAGAGAGGGCGUUCAGAACACCCGGAAAGAUAAGAAAGAAGCUGUUUUGACAUCCUUUCUCCAUCAGUGUGGUAGGAAGAGUUUUAAGACAGUUCCCAUGACCUUCGCCUUCCGGUAUUGGGGCAAAAGGAGGAGAUUAUCUGGGUGAGUCUAAUUUAAUUGCAGGAGCCCUCUGAAAGCAGAUAAUUUCUCUAGCUGGUAUUGGAAGAGAGUCAGAUUCAAAGCCUGACAGGGACUCCACAUGCUGUUGCUGGCUUUGAAGAUGGAAGAGGCUGUGCAAUGAGGAAUGCAGUUGGCCUCUAAGAGCAGAGGGGCCCCUAGCUGACAGCCAACAAGGAAAUGAGGACCUUAGCCCUAGAGCUUCAGGAAUUGGAUUAUGUCAGCAACCUGAAGGAGCUUGGAAGUGGAUUCCUCCCCUGAGCCUCCAGGUGACGGCCCAGCCAUUGCACAACAUGGUUGCAGCCUCAUGACACGCUGAGC